rnacentral:rRNA from 1 species
GACGAACGCUGGCGGCGUGCUUAACACAUGCAAGUCGAACGGAAAGGCCUGCUUUCCCUUGUGGAUUGCGGGUACUCGAGUGGCGAACGGGUGAGUAACACGUGAGUGAUCUGCCCCCAACUUGGGUAUAAGCCUGGGAAACUGGGUCUAAUUCCCGAUAGGACUGCAGGGUGGUUCCUGUGGUGGAAAACGAUUUUCUAGUGGUUGGGGAUGAGCUCGCGGCCUAUCAGCUUGUUGGUGGGGUAAUGGUCUACCAAGGCGGCGACGGGUAGCCGGCCUGAGAGGGUGGACGGCCACAUUGGGACUGAGAUACGGCCCAGACUCCUACGGGAGGCAGCAGUGGGGAAUAUUGCACAAUGGGCGGAAGCCUGAUGCAGCGACGCCGCGUGGGGGAUGACGGCCUUCGGGUUGUAAACUCCUUUCGACCGCGAGGAAGCCACCUGGUUGGAAGGGUGGUGACGGUAGUGGUAGAAGAAGCACCGGCUAACUACGUG